UCGAGCGGACCGACGGAGCUUGCUCCCUUAGGUCAGCGGCGGACGGGUGAGUAACACGUGGGUAACCUGCCUGUAAGACUGGGAUAACUCCGGGAAACCGGGGCUAAUACCGGAUGCUUGAUUGAACCGCAUGGUUCCAAUCAUAAAAGGUGGCUUUUAGCUACCACUUACAGAUGGACCCGCGGCGCAUUAGCUAGUUGGUGAGGUAACGGCUCACCAAGGCGACGAUGCGUAGCCGACCUGAGAGGGUGAUCGGCCACACUGGGACUGAGACACGGCCCAGACUCCUACGGGAGGCAGCAGUAGGGAAUCUUCCGCAAUGGACGAAAGUCUGACGGAGCAACGCCGCGUGAGUGAUGAAGGUUUUCGGAUCGUAAAACUCUGUUGUUAGGGAAGAACAAGUACCGUUCGAAUAGGGCGGCACCUUGACGGUACCUAACCAGAAAGCCACGGCUAACUACGUGCCAGCAGCCGCGGUAAUACGUAGGUGGCAAGCGUUGUCCGGAAUUAUUGGGCGUAAAGCGCGCGCAGGCGGUUUCUUAAGUCUGAUGUGAAAGCCCCCGGCUCAACCGGGGAGGGUCAUUGGAAACUGGGGAACUUGAGUGCAGAAGAGGAGAGUGGAAUUCCACGUGUAGCGGUGAAAUGCGUAGAGAUGUGGAGGAACACCAGUGGGCGAAGGCGACUCUCUGGU
rnacentral:rRNA from 1 species